UACGUAGGGUGCAAGCGUUAAUCGGAAUUACUGGGCGUAAAGCGUGCGCAGGCGGUUGUGUAAGACAGAUGUGAAAUCCCCCGGCUCAACCUGGGAACUGCGUCUGAUACUGGACGGCUUGAGUUUGGGAGAGGGAUGUAGAAUUCCAGGUGUAGCGGUGAAAUGCGUAGAUAUCUGGAGGAAUACCGGUGGCGAAGGCGGCAUCCUGGACCAAUACUGACGCUGAGGCGCGAAAGCUAGGGGAGCAAACGGG
rnacentral:rRNA from 1 species